rnacentral:rRNA from 1 species
AACCUGGGGGAAGGAUCAUUAUCGAGUCUUUGAACGGGUGGUAGCUGGCCUGUAACAGAGGCAUGUGCACCCCCGGCUCAUCCACUCUUUGACCUUGGUGCACCACAUGUAAGGAAAGACUUAAAAUGGUUGAAAGGCAAAGCAGGACUAUGCGUCUUGUUUUGGUNGGAAGCCUNUUUUCUUUUCUUAUGUAUCACUACAAACGCUUCAGUUAUAGAAUGUUUUGUUGUGUAUAACACAAAUAUACAACUUUCAGCAACGGAUCUCUUGGCUCUCGCAUCGAUGAAGAACGCAGCGAAAUGCGAUAAGUAAUGUGAAUUGCAGAAUUCAGUGAAUCAUCGAAUCUUUGAACGCACCUUGCGCUCCUUGGCAUUCCGAGGAGCAUGCCUGUUUGAGUAUCAUGAAAUUCUCAACCCCCAAAUUUCUUAACUUGAAAUAUGGCGGGCUUGGACUUGGAGGGCUGUGUUGGCUCGCUCUUAGUAGUCGACUCCUCUAAAAUUUAUUAGCGUGAAUGUUUUACGGAUCGCCUUCAGGGGGAAAAUUAUCUGCGCUGUGGUGUUGAAGUUAUUCAUGUAGUUC